GAUGAACGCUGGCGGCGUGCCUAAUACAUGCAAGUCGAGCGAACAGACGAGGAGCUUGCUCCUUUGACGUUAGCGGCGGACGGGUGAGUAACACGUGGGUAACCUACCUAUAAGACUGGGAUAACUUCGGGAAACCGGAGCUAAUACCGGAUAAUAUUUCGAACCGCAUGUUUCGAUAGUGAAAGAUGGCUUUGCUAUCACUUAUAGAUGGACCUGCGCCGUAUUAGCUAGUUGGUAAGGUAACGGCUUACCAAGGCAACGAUACGUAGCCGACAUGAGAGGGUGAUCGGCCACACUGGAACUGAGACACGGUCCAGACUCCUACGGGAGGCAGCAGUAGGGAAUCUUCCGCAAUGGGCGAAAGCCUGACGGAGCAACGCCGCGUGAGUGAUGAAGGUAUUCGGAUCGUAAAACUCUGUUAUUAGGGAAGAACAAACGUGUAAGUAACUGUGCACGUCUUGACGGUACCUAAUCAGAAAGCCACGGCUAACUACGUG
rnacentral:rRNA from 1 species